rnacentral:rRNA from 1 species
CCUACGGGAGGCAGCAGUGGGGAAUAUUGGGCAAUGGGCGCAAGCCUGACCCAGCAACGCCGCGUGAAGGAAGAAGGCUUUCGGGUUGUAAACUUCUUUUCUCAGGGACGAAGCAAGUGACGGUACCUGAGGAAUAAGCCACGGCUAACUACGUGCCAGCAGCCGCGGUAAUACGUAGGUGGCAAGCGUUAUCCGGAUUUACUGGGUGUAAAGGUCGUGUAGGCGGGGACGCAAGUCAGAUGUGAAAACCACGGGCUCAACCUGUGGCAGGCAUUUGAAACUGUGUUUCUUGAGUACUGGAGAGGCAGGCAGAAUUCCUGGUGUAGCGGUGAAAUGCGUAGAUAUCAGGAGGAACACCAGUAGCGAAGGCGGUCUGCUGGACAGCAACUGACGCUGAGGCGCGAAAGCGUGGGGAGCAAACAGGAUUAGAUACCCGAGUAGUC